rnacentral:rRNA from 1 species
AUGGGGCAGCAGCCCCGCAUGGGAUCGAGGUGCACCGAGCUCGGGGGCGUCUCCUCCGACUACGUCCUGAAGUGUCACCGGCGUGCGUCGUUUUAUAGUGGAGCUCUACCCCUGACAUGUUGUGCAGUACGCCAGUCCGCAACGUGCGGUUCGCCGGCCGCAUACACCGAGCCGCCCCGCCCAAUACAGUGCAGAUCACACCCGUCGCUGUAUCCAAUGGAUCCCGAGCAAUGGGGUCGCUGCCACCGGCCUCCAGCCUCCUCCAUCUCCGAACGAUCUCCAACUCUGGCGCACACACCUUCACCCCUGCUCGACCUUCUUCUACCCCCCCUCCAUCGUCGUGGCUUCUUCCAUGAGGCAUCCUCGUCCCCUCCCGCACUGCAUCACCACGCGAGCCGCACUACAUCACCACACGAGCCACGCUGCAUCACCUCUCCUUGCCCCCAUGGAUCCCGCAUCUUCCCACCACUGGAUCCCAGACAGCUGCUCGACACCGAUGCCUCCAGCCGCCCCACCCCUCUGGCUUCCUCUCCGUGCAGCAGCGCCGUCACCACUCUGCCAUCUCCUAGCCGGAGUUUAUGCUCUCCUCCACGUCUCCUUCGUCUUGCAUUGACAGCAAGAUACUCGUUCAGUUCGCGUUGGUGCGCUUCAUGCAGUGCGGAGCUUUUAAUUCUGCAGGAGGGAGGGGCGCGAGGAGGUUCGUCCGCGGGGCCGGCAUGCAGUUGGGGCGAUGUGUGGGUUGCAGCUCCCUUUGACGACAAUGAGGGUCACCUGUCGCUACAGUGCAGCUUGCUUGUCCCUUCGUUGCAGUUCGAUCGAGGCCCACAACUCCUCCAAUUCUGUUCAGAAGUGUUUUGGAUCGUUUUCAAUUCACGGCUUCUUCGGUGCAGUUCAUUGCCUUUUUUUGAAAAUUUUGUGUAUGGUUGUGUGGUUGUAAUUUUGCAUUUAGUUUUUAGUCAUUGCUGCCCGCUCUGGCGAUGA